AAUUUUGGGGGUGUGGGUAGAAAAACCAUCUGUUAUGACUCUGAGGGAACAUCAAUGCACUCUUUUAGGAAACGAGUUCCCUGCAAAAUCAAUUGUAAGAGGAAGUUGGGCAGUUGCUUUUCAUCCCAAUCAUUGGAAACAUUAACAAUCAUCUUCCUCACACCU